rnacentral:rRNA from 1 species
GAUGAACGCUGGCGGCGUGCCUAAUACAUGCAAGUCGAGCGAACAGACGAGGAGCUUGCUCCUCUGACGUUAGCGGCGGACGGGUGAGUAACACGUGGAUAACCUACCUAUAAGACUGGGAUAACUUCGGGAAACCGGAGCUAAUACCGGAUAAUAUAUUGAACCGCAUGGUUCAAUAGUGAAAGACGGUUUUGCUGUCACUUAUAGAUGGAUCCGCGCCGCAUUAGCUAGUUGGUAAGGUAACGGCUUACCAAGGCAACGAUGCGUAGCCGACCUGAGAGGGUGAUCGGCCACACUGGAACUGAGACACGGUCCAGACUCCUACGGGAGGCAGCAGUAGGGAAUCUUCCGCAAUGGGCGAAAGCCUGACGGAGCAACGCCGCGUGAGUGAUGAAGGUCUUCGGAUCUUAAAACUCUGUUAUUAGGGAAGAACAAAUGUGUAAGUAACUAUGCACGUCUUGACGGUACCUAAUCAGAGAGCCACGGCUAACUACGUG